GCUGUUAAGGGUUCGUAGUUGAAUUGAGGUCGUUCGGGUUCAUGUAGGUGAGUCCCCUUUGCUUCGUGCAAAGUGGUGGCUCCCUCGCCUGGCGAUCGUGAACAUUCAGAAACAAAUACACGGGAUUCUGCUUCCUUCCAACAUCUCUCGCGUACAAUGCACGCAGUGUGGGGGGACGCCCGUGUUUUUACUGUGACUAAAAAAGCGCGACCAAAGCAGUCAAGCGACAUGAAUUUUAAGCAUGGGAUAACAACGAAGCAGCCUACGGAUUACCGUUUCGGCUUUUGUUGGUUUUAAGAUCUGUGGGAGAUUAUGGCAUGGUAUGACAAGCGGUUCGGAGCUGGUGAAUUCCUGUUUCUCCUCGCCUUCCCGCCGUAUUCCUGUUUACGCAGGGUGCGGUCCGGUUUACCUUUGCUGGAAUGAAGGAGGGUUGUUCGGGGGAGAAAGUACUUGAGCGUGAGAGGUGAAAUUCUUGACCGCUCAAAGACUAACUACAGCGAAGGCAUUCUCCAAGGAUACCUUCAUCAAUCAGAACUAAAGUGAAA
rnacentral:rRNA from 1 species